GAUGAACGCUGGCGGCGUGCCUAAUACAUGCAAGUCGAGCGAAUGGAUUAAGAGCUUGCUCUUAUGAAGUUAGCGGCGGACGGGUGGGUAACACGUGGGUAACCUGCCCAUAAGACUGGGAUAACUCCGGGAAACCGGGGCUAAUACCGGAUAACAUUUUGAACCGCAUGGUUCGAAAUUGAAAGGCGGCUUCGGCCGUCACUUAUGGAUGGACACGCGUCGCAUUAGCUAGUUGGUGAGGUAACGGCUCACCAAGGCAACGAUGCGUAGCCGACCUGAGAGGGGGAUCGGCCACACUGGGACUGAGACACGGCCCAGACUCCUACGGGAGGCAGCAGUAGGGAAUCUUCCGCAAUGGACAAAAGUCUGACGGAGCAACGCCGCGUGAGUGACGAAGGCUUUCGGGUCGUAAAACUCUGUUGUUAGGGAAGAACAAGUGCUAGUUGAAUAAGCUGGCACCUUGACGGUACCUAACCAGAAAGCCACGGCUAACUACGUGCCAGCAGCCGCGGUAA
rnacentral:rRNA from 1 species